CGCGUAGGCGGCUUUGUAAGUCUGGAGUGAAAGUCCUCUUUUUCAAGGGAGGAAUUGCUUUGGAAACUAUAGAGCUUGAGUGCAGGAGAGGUUUAUCGGAAUUCCCGGUGUAGCGGUGAAAUGCGUAGAUAUCGGGAGGAACAUCGGUGGCGAAGGCGGGUAACUGGACUGCAACUGACGCUGAGGCGCGAAAGUGUGGGGAGCAAAACA
rnacentral:rRNA from 1 species